rnacentral:rRNA from 1 species
GCCAACUUAUUUCGCAAGCAUAUUGCGCAAUCAGCCGCAUGCCCUCGCUGUCAAGAUCCUCAUGAAGAUGCGCUACACCUCAUCUCCAGCUGUUCUUAUGCUACACAAGUCUGGUCCGCCCUGGGGCUGCACGCUCCAACCUCUCUUGACGACCUGCUACAACACCAAACGCUUCAAGGCCUCAACCCCAACAUAUGGCCAUCAGUCGCUCUCACUAUAUCUUGGAAACUUUGGGAUUCAAGAAACGCCCUAGUUUUCAGAAACGAGGAUCAUUCUCACAGAACCACGCUACACAACAUUGUAACUGAUUUCUCUCUUUGGGUUUUUCGGUUCAAAAAGAAGGAAGACAAUUUAUUCGCUAAGCAAUGGCUUCACUUCUUAUCCUCAGCUACAUCCUAA